GAUGAACGCUAGCGGGAGGCCUAACACAUGCAAGCCGAGCGGUAGAGUUUCUUCGGAAACUUGAGAGCGGCGCACGGGUGCGUAACACGUGUGCAACCUACCUUUAUCUGGGGGAUAGCCUUUCGAAAGGAAGAUUAAUACCCCAUAAUAUAAUGAUUGGCAUCAAUUAUUAUUGAAAACUCCGGUGGAUAGAGAUGGGCACGCGCAAGAUUAGAUAGUUGGUGAGGUAACGGCUCACCAAGUCAAUGAUCUUUAGGGGUCCUGAGAGGGAGAUCCCCCACACUGGUACUGAGACACGGACCAGACUCCUACGGGAGGCAGCAGUGAGGAAUAUUGGACAAUGGGUGAGAGCCUGAUCCAGCCAUCCCGCGUGAGGGAUGACGGUCCUAUGGAUUGUAAACUUCUUUUGUACAGGGAUAAACCUACCCUCGUGAGGGUAGCUGAAGGUACUGUACGAAUAAGCACCGGCUAACUCCGUG
rnacentral:rRNA from 1 species